rnacentral:rRNA from 1 species
CACGUAGGGGGCGAGCGUUGUCCGGAUUUAUUGGGCGUAAAGAGCUCGUAGGCGGUUUCGUAAGUCGGAUGUGAAAACUCCAGGCUCAACUUGGAGACGCCAUUCGAUACUGCGAUGACUUGAGUCCGGUAGGGGAGCGUGGAAUUCCUGGUGUAGCGGUGAAAUGCGCAGAUAUCAGGAGGAACACCGGCGGCGAAGGCGGCACUCUGGGCCGGAACUGACGCUGAGGAGCGAAAGCGUGGGGAGCGAACAGG